rnacentral:rRNA from 1 species
UUAUUGAGGUAGCCCCCAAAAUAUUGGGACAUAUAAAAAGAUAACUCUGUUCCACAGAGUAGCUGUUGACAUUAUAGUUGCGCAGGCACUUUGUUGACUCUAGAGAACCUCGGGCCAAUCGCACAUCCCUUUGGUGGCAACUUUGCAUGCGGAUGUCAUCCAUAUCAACUUUCGAUGCCAGUUUCUGCGCCUACCAUGGUGACCAUGGGUAAUGGGGAAUCAGGGUUCCAUUCCGUACAGGGACCCUGAGAAACGGCUACCACAUGCAAGGAAGGCAGCAGGCGCGCAAAUGACCCACUCCCGACGUGGGAAGGUAGUGACGA